CCCCUAGACGUUCUGGGCCGCACGCGCGCUACACUGAACAGUUCAACAAGUCUUAACCUUGGCCGAUAGGUCUGGGUAAUCUUUGAACGCUGUUCGUGAUUGGGAUAGACCUUUGCAAUUAUGGGUCUUCAACGAGGAAUUCCUAGUAAACGCAAGUCAUCAGCUUGCAUUGAUUACGUCCCUGCCCUUUGUACACACCGCCCGUCGCACCUACCGAUUGAAUGGUCCGGUGAAAUCUCGGGACGGCGGCUUGGUCGCUUGCGUCCGACUGCUGAAACUUGAUUAAACCAUAUCAUUUAGAGGAAGGUGAANUCGUANCA
rnacentral:rRNA from 1 species